rnacentral:rRNA from 1 species
UUUGGGAGAGAUUAAAAAAGUAACAAGGUUUCCGUAGGUGAACCUGCGGAAGGAUCAUUACAGUAUUCUUUUGCCAGCGCUUAACUGCGCGGCGAAAAACCUUACACACAGUGUCUUUUUGAUACAGAACUCUUGCUUUGGUUUGGCCUAGAGAUAGGUUGGGCCAGAGGUUUAACAAAACACAAUUUAAUUAUUUUUACAGUUAGUCAAAUUUUGAAUUAAUCUUCAAAACUUUCAACAACGGAUCUCUUGGUUCUCGCAUCGAUGAAGAACGCAGCGAAAUGCGAUAAGUAAUAUGAAUUGCAGAUUUUCGUGAAUCAUCGAAUCUUUGAACGCACAUUGCGCCCUCUGGUAUUCCAGAGGGCAUGCCUGUUUGAGCGUCAUUUCUCUCUCAAACCCCCGGGUUUGGUAUUGAGUGAUACUCUUAGUCGGACUAGGCGUUUGCUUGAAAAGUAUUGGCAUGGGUAGUACUAGAUAGUGCUGUCGACCUCUCAAUGUAUUAGGUUUAUCCAACUCGUUGAAUGGUGUGGCGGGAUAUUUCUGGUAUUGUUGGCCCGGCCUUACAACAACCAAACAAGUUUGACCUCAAAUCAGGUAGGAAUACCCGCUGAACUUAAGCAUAUCAAAACCGCGGGAGAAAUA